UACGAAGGGGGCUAGCGUUGCUCGGAAUCACUGGGCGUAAAGCGCACGUAGGCGGACUCUUAAGUCGGUGGUGAAAUCCCGGAGCUCAACUCCGGAACUGCCUUUGAUACUGGCAAUCUAGAGUCCGGAAGAGGUGAGUGGAACUCCUAGUGUAGAGGUGGAAUUCGUAGAUAUUAGGAAGAACACCAGUGGCGAAGGCGGCUCACUGGUCCGGUACUGACGCUGAGGUGCGAAAGCGUGGGGAGCAAACAGG
rnacentral:rRNA from 1 species